UACGGAGGGUGCAAGCGUUAUCCGGAUUCACUGGGUUUAAAGGGUGCGUAGGUGGGCAAGUAAGUCAGUGGUGAAAUCUCCGGGCUUAACCCGGAAACUGCCAUUGAUACUAUUUGUCUUGAAUACUGUGGAGGUCAGCGGAAUAUGUCAUGUAGCGGUGAAAUGCUUAGAUAUGACAUAGAACACCAAUUGCGAAGGCAGCUUACUACACGAUCAUUGACACUGAGGCACGAAAGCGUGGGGAGCAAACAGG
rnacentral:rRNA from 1 species